GGGCUCGCUUCGGCAGCCCAUAAACUAAAAUUGGAAAGACAUAGAAAAGAUUAGCAAGGCCCCUGCGCAAGGAUGACACGCAAAUUCGUGAAGUGUUCCAUGUUUUU
ensembl:snRNA U6 U6 spliceosomal RNA